rnacentral:rRNA from 1 species
UGGGGAAUAUUGGACAAUGGGGGGAACCCUGAUCCAGCCAUGCCGCGUGUGUGAAGAAGGCCUUAUGGUUGUAAAGCACUUUAAGCGAGGAGGAGGCUACUGAGACUAAUACUCUUGGAUAGUGGACGUUACUCGCAGAAUAAGCACCGGCUAACUCUGUGCCAGCAGCCGCGGUAAUACAGAGGGUGCGAGCGUUAAUCGGAUUUACUGGGCGUAAAGCGUGCGUAGGCGGCUUUUUAAGUCGGAUGUGAAAUCCCCGAGCUUAACUUGGGAAUUGCAUUCGAUACUGGGAAGCUAGAGUAUGGGAGAGGAUGGUAGAAUUCCAGGUGUAGCGGUGAAAUGCGUAGAGAUCUGGAGGAAUACCGAUGGCGAAGGCAGCCAUCUGGCCUAAUACUGACGCUGAGGUACGAAAAGCAUGGGGAGCAAACAGGAUUAGAUACCCUGGUAGUCUAUGCCGUAAAACGAUGUCUACUAGCCGUUGGGGCCUUUGAAGGCUUUAGUGGCGCAGCUAACGCGAUAAGUAGACCGCCUGGGGAGUACGGUCGCAAGACUAAAAACUUAAAUGAAUUGACGGGGGUCAUAGCUGUUUCCUG